rnacentral:lncRNA from 1 species
AUGUUUUAGUUAAAUGUUUUUACAUUCGUAUAGGGAAAUCCUGCAUGGAUCUGACUGAAAAUUUCUGCAGACCAAGGAAAUGAUCCUGAGUGGAUUCGGAUGGGCUUUCAAUGGAGUCUUGCCUGCUGCUGCUGAUUUUACAAAGCUAAAGGCUAUGCCAGAACAGUCUCCCUGUCAAAUCAAUGAGAAAUCAUACAGAAAGCUGGGAUGCACAGGUGCUUCCACCCUCAGGCCACUGGUCCAAAUCCGGCACAGCAUCCUGUCCUGCUCUGCUCUGAAGGCUGUUACUAAGUGACAGGUGUCUGCUGCCCCAGGCUUAUGAGAGGUGAGUGUCAGAGAGAUGCAAAAGGCACCAUGGGAGAGAUGGAAGGACAGGAGAACUGGGUGAAAUAAUCAGGACAUGUCGAUCCAUGUUCUGAUAAUAAAUCCUGUUUCCUA